rnacentral:rRNA from 1 species
GUACACGGUGGAUGCCCUGGCAGUCAGAGGCGAUGAAGGGCGUGCUAAUCUGCGAUAAGCGCCGGUAAGGUGAUAUGAACCGUUAUAACCGGCGAUACCCGAAUGGGGAAACCCAGUGUGACUCGUCACACUAUCAUUAACUGAAUCCAUAGGUUAAUGAGGCGAACCGGGGGAACUGAAACAUCUAAGUACCCCGAGGAAAAGAAAUCAACCGAGAUUCCCCCAGUAGCGGCGAGCGAACGGGGAGGAGCCCAGAGCCUGAAUCAGCAUGUGUGUUAGUGGAAGCGUCUGGAAAGGCGCGCGAUACAGGGUGACAGCCCCGUACACAAAAGCGCAUGUGCUGUGAGCUCGAUGAGUAGGGCGGGACACGUGGUAUCCUGUCUGAAUAUGGGGGGACCAUCCUCCAAGGCUAAAUACUCCUGACUGACCGAUAGUGAACCAGUACCGUGAGGGAAAGGCGAAAAGAACCCCGGCGAGGGGAGUGAAAAAGAACCUGAAACCGUGUACGUACAAGCAGUGGGAGCACCCUUUGGGGUGUGACUGCGUACCUUUUGUAUAAUGGGUCAGCGACUUAUAUUCUGUAGCAAGGUUAACCGAAUAGGGGAGC